GCAGUAGUAGCUCAAUUGGCAGAGCGCUUGCCUUCCAAGCAGGCUGUUGUGGGUUCAAGUCCCAUCUACUGCUCCA
rnacentral:tRNA from 1 species